UUCGAAGCAACGCGCAGAACCUUACCAGCCUUUGACAUGUCCCGGACGGUUACCAGAGAUGGUUUCUUCUCUUCGGAGCCGGGAACACAGGUGCUGCAUGGCUGUCGUCAGCUCGUGUCGUGAGAUGUUGGGUUAAGUCCCGCAACGAGCGCAACCCUCGCCCUUAGUUGCCAUCAUUAAGUUGGGCACUCUAGGGGGACUGCCGGUGAUAAGCCGCGAGGAAGUGGGGAUGACGUCAAGUCCUCAUGGCCCUUACGGGCUGGGCUACACACGUGCUACAAUGGCGGUGACAGUGGGAAGCGAACCCGCGAGGGUAAGCAAAUCUCCAAAAGCCGUCUCAGUUCGGAUUGCACUCUGCAACUCGAGUGCAUGAAGUUGGAAUCGCUAGUAAUCGUGGAUCAGCAUGCCACGGUGAAUACGUUCCCGGGCCUU
rnacentral:rRNA from 1 species